UGCGUAGGUGGCUUUGAAAGUUUGAUGUGAAAUCUCCGGGCUUAACCCGGAAAAUGCAUUGAAUACUGCAGAGCUGGAGGUUUGGAGGGGGGACUGGAAUUCUCGGUGUAGCAGUGAAAUGCGUAGAUAUCGAGAGGAACACCAGUGGCGAAGGCGAGUCCCUGGACAACACCUGACACUGAGGCACGAAAGCCGGGGGAGCAAACA
rnacentral:rRNA from 1 species